UACGUAGGGGGCAAGCGUUGUCCGGAAUCAUUGGGCGUAAAGCGCGCGUAGGCGGCCCGAUAAGUCCGCUGUAAAAGUCAACGGCUCAACUGUUGAACGCCGGUGGAUACUGUCGGGCUAGAGUCCGGAAGAGGCAAGUGGAAUUCCUGGUGUAGCGGCGGAAUGCGCAGAUAUCAGGAGGAACCCCAAUAGCGAAGGCAGCUUGCUGGGACGGGACUUACGCUAAGGCGCGAAAGCGGGGGGAGCGAACAGG
rnacentral:rRNA from 1 species